rnacentral:rRNA from 1 species
UACGGAGGGUGCGAGCGUUGUUCGGAAUCACUGGGCGUAAAGCGCGUGUAGGCGGCCCACUAAGUCUGAUGUGAACGCCCGGGGCUCACCCCCGGAAGUGCAUUGGAAACUGGUGGACUCGAGUCCCGGAGAGGAGAGUGGAAUUCCUGGUGUAGCGGUGAAAUGCGUAGAUAUCAGGAGGAACACCGGUGGCGAAGGCGGCUCUCUGGACGGCGACUGACGCUGAGACGCGAAAGCGUGGGGAGCAAACAGG